ACAGUCACACAUUAGAUACCCGGUAGUCCAUGCCGUAAACGAUGUCGCGUUAGGUGUAUCGACGACCACGAGUCGUCGAGGUGCCGAAGGGAAACCGUGAAACGUACCGCCUGGGAGUACGGUCGCAAGGCUGAAACUUAAAGGAAUUGGCGGGGAGCACCACAACAGGUGGAGCCUGCGGUUUAAUUGGACUCAACGCCGGAAAUCUCACCGGAUAGGACAGCAGAAUGAUUGCCGGGCUGAAGACUCUGCAUGACUAGCUG
rnacentral:rRNA from 1 species